rnacentral:rRNA from 1 species
GACGAACGCUGGCGGCGUGCUUAACACAUGCAAGUCGAACGCUGAAGCUUGGUGCUUGCACUGGGUGGAUGAGUGGCGAACGGGUGAGUAAUAAGUGAGUAACCUGCCCUUGACUCUGGGAUAAGCCUGGGAAACUGGGUCUAAUACUGGAUACGACAUGUCACCGCAUGGUGGUGUGUGGAAAGGGUUUUACUGGUUUUGGAUGGGCUCACGGCCUAUCAGCUUGUUGGUGGGGUAAUGGCUCACCAAGGCGACGACGGGUAGCCGGCCUGAGAGGAUGACCGGCCACACUGGGACUGAGACACGGCCCAGACUCCUACGGGAGGCAGCAGUGGGGAAUAUUGCACAAUGGGCGGAAGCCUGAUGCAGCGACGCCGCGUGAGGGAUGACGGCCUUCGGGUUGUAAACCUCUUUCAGCACGGAAGAAGCGAAAGUGACGGUACGUGCAGAAGAAGCGCCGGCUAACUACGUG